AUUCCAGCUCCAAUGGCGUGUAUUAAAGUUGUUGCAGUUAAAAAGCUCGUAGUUGGAUUUCUGGCAGGAGCGACCGGUCGGCCCAUUGUGGUGUGUACUAGUGUUGCAUCUGGCCAUAUUUGUGGAGAGCGUGUGUGGCAUUAAUUUGUCGUGCUCGGGACCCGCAUCGUUUACUGUGAGAAAAUUAGAGUGUUCAAAGCAGGCUUAUGCCUUGGAUAUGUUAGCAUGGAAUAAUAAGAUAAGACUUUGGCGGUCUAUUUUGUUGGUUUGCACGCCAUUGUAAUGAUUGAUAGGGACAGUUGGGGGUAUUCAUAUUUAAUUGUCAGAGGUGAAAUUCUUGGAUUUAUGAAAGAUGAACUACUGCGAAAGCAUUUACCAAGGAUGUUUUCAUCA
rnacentral:rRNA from 1 species